rnacentral:rRNA from 1 species
GGCGGACGGGUGAGUAACGCGAUAGGAAUCUACCUAGUAGAAGGGGAUAGCCCGGGGAAACUCGGAUUAAUACCGUAUACCUCCUUCGGGAGAAAGAAGGCCUCUCAUUGAAGCUUUCGCUACUAGAUGUGCCUGCGUAGGAUUAGCUUGUUGGUGAGGUAAAGGCUCACCAAGGCGACGAUCUUUAGCGGGUCUGAGAGGACGAUCCGCCACAUUGGGACUGAGACACGGCCCAGACUCCUACGGGAGGCAGCAGUGGGGAAUAUUGGACAAUGGGCGCAAGCCUGAUCCAGCCAUACCGCGUGUGUGAAGAAGGCCCUAGGGUUGUAAAGCACUUUAAGUUGGGAAGAAAAGUUAUUGGUAAAUACCCAAUAGCCGUGACAUUACCAUCAGAAUAAGGACCGGCUAAUUCCGUGCCAGCAGCCGCGGUAAUACGGAAGGUCCAAGCGUUAAUCGGAAUUACUGGGCGUAAAGCGCGU